UACGUAGGGGGCGAGCGUUGUCCGGAUUUAUUGGGCGUAAAGAGCGUGUAGGCGGCCAGGUAGGUCUGCUGUGAAAACUCGAGGCUUAACCUCGAGAUGUCGGCGGAAACCAUCUGGCUAGAGUCCGGAAGAGGAGAGUGGAAUUCCCGGUGUAGCGGUGAAAUGCGCAGAUAUCGGGAAGAACACCCGUGGCGAAGGCGGCUCUCUGGGACGGUACUGACGCUGAGACGCGAAAGCGUGGGGAGCGAACAGG
rnacentral:rRNA from 1 species